GUGGAGGGCAGGUGCAAAGCUGCCCUCCUACACGCUCUCCUUCGGAGUAGCAUAGCACCCCCCGAUCGGGGAUGUACGCUACGAUCCUCGUAGCUCGUAACUACCACCCCCGCUAAAAUAAAAUACGCGGGUCUGUGCUCCGAAAAAAUUAGGGUGGUUCGAUUCCCUCUUGACUUAGCGAUGUUGUCUAUCUACAUCCUCCAGAUUGAAGAAUUUUGGAAAGGUUGGACUGUUCGUCCAUUAAAGUAGAACUUGAGAUUAGUUAAUACCGUCGUGAGACAGGUAGGUUUCUAUCUUCUAUUUCCACCUAGAAAUUUGAAUUGAAGAUUCCCAUUGUACGAAAGGAUCCGGGAAUCCAAACCAAUGGUUUACCAGUUGUCUCCUUAAAGGCAUCGCUGGGUAGCUACGUUCGAAGAAAUAAGUUCUGAAAGCCUAUCAAGAACGAAAUUCCCAAUAAGAAUAAUUUCUUAAAAAAAGAUAUGAUAGACUAUCAUAAUAAUAGGUUCUAUAUAUAACCCUAGUAAUAAGGAUAGAGUAUAAGAAUACUAGUUUCUU
rnacentral:ncRNA from 1 species